rnacentral:rRNA from 1 species
GAUGAACGCUGGCGGCGUGCCUAAUACAUGCAAGUCGAGCGAACAGACGAGGAGCUUGCUUCUCUGAUGUUAGCGGCGGACGGGUGAGUAACACGUUGAUAACCUACCUAUAAGACUGGGAUAACUUCGGGAAACCGGAGCUAAUACCGUAUAAUAUUUUUAACCGCAUGGUUCAAUAGUGAAAGACGGUUUUGCUGUCACUUAUAGAUGGAUCCGCGCUGCAUUAGCUAGUUGGUAAGGUAACGGCUUACCAAGGCAACGAUGCGUAGCCGACCUGAGAGGGUGAUCGGCCACACUGGAACUGAGACACGGUCCAGACUCCUACGGGAGGCAGCAGUAGGGAAUCUUCCGCAAAGGGCGAAAGCCUGACGGAGCAACGCCGCGUGAGUGAUGAAGGUCUUCGGAUCGUAAAACUCUGUUAUUAGGGAAGAACAAAUGUGUAAGUAACUAUGCACAUCUUGACGGUACCUAAUCAGAAAGCCACGGCUAACUACGUG